UAGAGUUUGAUCCUGGCUCAGGACGAACGCUGGCGGCGUGCCUAAUACAUGCAAGUCGAGCGAACUUACGGGAGCUUGCUCCCAAAAGUUAGCGGCGGACGGGUGAGUAACACGUGGGCAACCUGCCUGUAAGACUGGGAUAACUUCGGGAAACCGGAGCUAAUACCGGAUAAUUCUUUUCUGCUCAUGCAGGAAAGCUGAAAGAUGGUUUCGGCUAUCACUUACAGAUGGGCCCGCGGCGCAUUAGCUAGUUGGUGAGGUAACGGCUCACCAAGGCAACGAUGCGUAGCCGACCUGAGAGGGUGAUCGGCCACACUGGGACUGAGACACGGCCCAGACUCCUACGGGAGGCAGCAGUAGGGAAUCUUCCGCAAUGGACGAAAGUCUGACGGAGCAACGCCGCGUGAGUGAUGAAGGUUUUCGGAUCGUAAAACUCUGUUGUUAGGGAAGAACAGGUACCGGAGUAACUGCCGGUACCUUGACGGUACCUAACCAGAAAGCCACGGCUAACUACGUGCCAGCAGCCGCGGUAAUACGUAGGUGGCAAGCGUUGUCCGGAAUUAUUGGGCGUAAAGCGCGCGCAGGCGGUUCCUUAAGUCUGAUGUGAAAGCCCACGGCUCAACCGUGGAGGGUCAUUGGAAACUGGGGAACUUGAGUGCAGAAGAGGAGAGUGGAAUUCCACGUGUAGCGGUGAAAUGCGUANAGAUGUGGAGGAACCCAGUGGGCGAAGCGACUCUCUGGUCUGUAACUGACGCUGAGGCGCGAAAGCGUGGGGAGCGAACAGGAUUAGAUACCCUGGUAGCCACGCCGUAAACGAUGAGUGCUAAGGGUUAGAGGGUUUCCGCCC
rnacentral:rRNA from 1 species